ensembl:snoRNA small nucleolar RNA U13
AUCCUUUUGUAGUUCCUGAGCGUGAUGACUGGGUGUUCAUGAGGUUGUGUGACAUGUGCCUCCCUCAAACCUUGUUAUGACACCGGCAUGUUACCCGUCUGACA